rnacentral:lncRNA from 1 species
GCGUGGGACUGUGCUGGCUGCCCCGCAAGAGCUGGUAGGGCACCGUGGCGCGGAUGGGCUGCAGCAGCCGGCCGGCUCCCGCAGCCGGGGCGCAGCCCACGCCGCCGCCGCCCGCACCGUUCCCGCUCCCGGCGGCGGCGACGGCUGGCGGGGACCCCGCGGCGCUGCGCCUCAUCCUCUGCGACGGGGGAUGAGGGGUCUGAGAGGAACUGGAGGAGGAGGAGGAGGAGGCAGUGGACAUGGUGGCUCUGCGGGCCCUGGACGCCGCCGGCCGACACGGAGGCGCGGGGCGGGAGGCGCGCGAGCGUGUGGGAGCCGGCGCGAUAGUGCGUGCGAGUGUGUAAGGGGGAGGGGCGGGGGGGAAGGCUGCGAAAACAAACGUCCAACGGCCGCAACCGCCCGGCUGGGCUCGGUGUGGCGGUCACGGCCGGGGCCGCAAGGAGCCCGGAGCCGCCGCCGCCACCGCUCCAGGCAUCGCGCUGACAGGGCAACGGCCCGGAUCACGCAGCCCCGAGGGCCGCUCGCAGCCUUCUCCUCAGCCCUCGCGGGGCUGCACGCACGGGAGAACCCGGCAGCUGCAAGCAGGGCCGGGACCCCUGCUUCUGGGGACCAGGGUAAAGAGAAAGGGCCUCGAGGUGCUGGCGCUCCUCGGAGUCCGCGCCACCGCAAACGCCGCCGCCGCCGCCGCC